ACCAAAUUCCCUAGAGAUGGCUUACCACACAACUCCGUGCACCCUUUCUUCUGAGUUUUCUUCUCUUAACAACAACUAACAAACACCAGCUUCCUGGGCUGAUUGGCAGCCUGGCUUUCUGCUGGAUGUGCGUACCUCUGGGCCAGGAGAUGUUCCAGACAAGCUCCAAUUUCACCCUUUUAUGACUGUAAAGGAAAUGGGGACACCUAGACCCCUGAAGCUGCCCUGGAGAAGCCAGGAGUAAAUGAGCAUCUGAAUCUGACAACCACACACCACGCUCUCCGGCAUCACCACAGU